AGCCCACCGGCUCCAAACGGUGGAGGGGUCUCAUUGGAAAUUGGGGAAAUUGAGUGCUAGAAGAGAAAAGCUGGAAUUUCCACGUGUAGCCGUGAAAUGCGUAGAGAUGUGAAGGAACACCAGUGGUGAAGGCGGGCUUUUGGUCUGUAACUGACGAUGAGGGCGCGAAAAGCGUGGGGAGCAAACAAGGAUUUAGAUACCCUGGUAGUCCAACGCCGUAAACGAUGAGUGCUAAAGUGUUAGAGGGUUUCCGCCCUUUAGUGCUGCAGAUAAACGCAUUAAGCACUCCGCCUGGGGAGUACGGUCGCAAGACUGAAAACUCAAAGGAAUUGACGGGGGCCCGCACAAGCGGUGGAGCAUGUGGUUUAAUUCGAAGCAACGCGAAGAACCUUACCAGGUCUUGACAUCCUCUGACAACUCUAGAGAUAGAGCGUUCCCCUUCGGGGGACAGAGUGACAGGUGGUGCAUGGUUGUCGUCAGCUCGUGUCGUGAGAUGUUGGGUUAAGUCCCGCAACGAGCGCAACCCUUGAUCUUAGUUGCCAGCAUUUAGUUGGGCACUCUAAGGUGACUGCCGGUGACAAACCGGAGGAAGGUGGGGAUGACGUCAAAUCAUCAUGCCCCUUAUGACCUGGGCUACACACGUGCUACAAUGGAUGGUACAAAGGGCUGCAAGACCGCGAGGUCAAGCCAAUCCCAUAAAACCAUUCUCAGUUCGGAUUGUAGGCUGCAACUCGCCUACAUGAAGCUGGAAGAGAGUUUGAUCAUGGCUCAGCAUGCCGCGGUGAAUACGUUCCCGGGCCUUGUACACACCGCCCGUCACACCACGAGAGUUUGUAACACCCGAAGUUCGGUGGAGUAACCGUAAGGAGCUAGCUAGCCGCAUAGAUUCUUUUUUUUAUA
rnacentral:rRNA from 1 species